AGACGAACCGUCCAAACGUUAUUCGGAAUUACUGGGCUUAAAGGGUGCGUAGGCGGCGCGGAAAGUUGGGUGUGAAAUACCUCGGCUCAACCGAGGAACUGCGCCCAAAACUUCCGUGCUCGAGGGAGAUAGAGGUGAGCGGAACUUAGGGUGGAGCGGUGAAAUGCGUUGAUAUCCUAAGGAACACCGGUGGCGAAGGCGGCUCACUGGAUCUCUUCUGACGCUGAGGCACGAAAGCUAGGGUAGCGAACGGGAUUAGAAACCCCGGUAGUCC
rnacentral:rRNA from 1 species